GGUAAUUUGACCGUGCAAAGGUAGCAUAAUCAUUAGUUUUUUAAUUGAAAGCUGGAAUGAAAGGUUGGAUGAGAAAAAAGCUGUCUCUAUUUAAUUUAUUUAGAAUUUUAUUUUUAAGUUAAAAAGCUUAAAUUUUAAUAGAAGACGAGAAGACCCUAUAGAGUUUUAUUAAUUUUUUUUAUAGAAAUAAUAGUAUUUUUUAUUUUUAUAUUUAAUAUUAAUUUAGUUGGGGUGAUUGAAAAAUUUAAUUAACUUUUUUUUUAUGUAUACAUUUAUAUAUGAUUAUUUGAUCCUUAGUUUAAGAUUAAAAGAUAAAAUUACCUUAGGGAUAACAGCGUAAUUUUUUUUGAGAGUUCUAAUCGAAAGAAAAGAUUGCGACCUCGAUGUUGGAUUAAAAUAAAAUUUUGGUGUAGAAGCUGAAG
rnacentral:rRNA from 1 species